rnacentral:tRNA from 1 species
GUUGUGGCUUAGUGGUAGAGUGCUUGCCUAACAUGUGCAAAGCCCUGGGUUCAAUCCUCAGCACCACA